GAGGACAGCGCUGUUAUAUAGACAUUUAUAUAUUUAUAUAUAUUAUAUCUAUUUAUAUAUAGCAUCUAUAGACAGGUUAUUAAGGAGCAGGUAUGUUAGACAGUACAGAGACAGGUCAUUAAGGAGCAGGUAGGGGUUAGACAGUACAGAGACAGGUCAUUAAGGAGCAGGUAGGGGUUAGACAGUACAGAGACAGGUCGUUAAGGAGCAGGUAGGGGUUAGACAGUACAGAGACAGGUCGUUAAGGAGCAGGUAGGGGUUAGACAGUACAGAGACAGGUCAUUAAGGAGCAGGUAGGGGUUAGACAGUACAGAGACAGGCCAUUAAGGAGCAGGUAGGGGUUAGACAGUACAGAGACAGGUCGUUAAGGAGCAGGUAGGGGUUAGACAGUACAGAGACAGGUCGUUAAGGAGCAGGUAGGGGUUAGACAGUACAGAGACAGGUCACUAAGGAGCAGGUAGGGGUUAGACAGUACAGAGACAGGUCAUUAAGGAGCAGGUAGGGGUUAGACAGUACAGAGACGGGUCAUUAAGGAGCAGGUAGGGGUUAGACAGUACAGAGACGGGUCAUUAAGGUAGGGGUUAGACAGUACAGAGACAGGUCAUUAAGGAGCAGGUAGGGGUUAGACAGUACAGAGACAGGUCAUUAAGGAGCAGGUAGGGGUUAGACAGUACA